rnacentral:rRNA from 1 species
AUGAUCAAAUUCUCAAUUGGUAAUGGUGACUACAUUAGACUGUUUAAGCAACUAAGCAACUCAAGUCCCCUCGUGACUACAAGUCAUGAGUGGCCGCUGCACUAUUCUUGUGUAAAAAUAUGGAUUUUCACUUUCGACCUGCAGUAUUUGACGGUCUCUGUGUGGAGGGUUUCAGAACUUUCUCUAGGCGCAGACCUGAAUACUAGCAGUACACGCUUGCAGCUAGCAAAAAAUGCAAGAUGCAGGGUCGUGUUUUCUUUUUCCAAUGCAUGGUAUCUGUUCAGGUGGAUGACUGCUAAUUUAUGUGGGAUAGGAAUGUCUUCAUAUUUGUGGUGGGUACAAGUAAUAUUAAAUUGA